rnacentral:rRNA from 1 species
UACGUAGGAGGCAAGCGUUGUCCGGAAUUACUGGGCGUAAAGCGCGUGUAGGUGGUGGGACAAGUCUGCUGUGAAAGCGCCUGGCUUAACCGGGCGAGGUCGGCGGAAACUGUCCGACUAGAGGACGGUAGAGGGGGGUGGAAUUCCCGGUGUAGUGGUGAAAUGCGUAGAGAUCGGGAGGAACACCUGUGGCGAAGGCGGCGAUCUGGGAAGAUACUGACGCUGAGGUGCGAAAGCGUGGGGAGCAAACAGGG